GAGUUUGAUCGUGGCUCAGGACGAACGCUGGCGGCGUGCUUAACACAUGCAAGUCGAACGAAGAACUAGAGAUGAAUUCUUCGGAAGGAAUUUUUAGUUACUUAGUGGCGGACGGGUGAGUAACGCGUGAGCAACCUGCCCAUAAGAGGGGGAUAACAGCUGGAAACGGCUGCUAAUACCGCAUAAGACCACAUUGCCACAUGGCAGAGGGGUCAAAGAUUUAUCGCUUAUGGAUGGGCUCGCGUCUGAUUAGCUAGUUGGUAGGGUAACGGCCUACCAAGGCGACGAUCAGUAGCCGACCUGAGAGGGUGAUCGGCCACACUGGAACUGAGACACGGUCCAGACUCCUACGGGAGGCAGCAGUGGGGAAUAUUGGGCAAUGGGGGAAACCCUGACCCAGCAACGCCGCGUGAGGGAAGAAGGGCUUUCGAGUU
rnacentral:rRNA from 1 species